ACGCAAUCACUGCGCGUCCGUUUUGCAAAAAAAGAACCUGGAGGUCGUCCUGUGUUGUGGUGGCCGCUCCGCAGCUCCUAGACUCGGAUUAGGCCCGCUGCCCAGAUGGCUGACUCUCCUUGUGGGCCAGAUGAAGUGAGUGAACGUGUUGAAGAAGCUCAUGUAGCCACUGCAGGAGGCUUCUAGAAACAGCAGGAUGCCUCCAGCCAACAGCCAAAAAGCUGGAGCCUUCAGUUCUGUGGUCCAAGGAAAUAAACUGCCCACAACCUGAGUAAGUUUGGAAGCAGAAUCUCCCCCAGUUCAUCCUCCAAGUAAGAACACACACAGCCUGGAGGAUGCCUUGUGAGAACCGAACAGAGGACCAUGUGUCUGGACUCCUAACCCACGUCCUUGAGGUCUGGCCCAGAAGAACUCUGGCUGAUGCUGUUCGCCUGAGCCACCAGCACACAGCCCUGUGUCUCAGGAGUUUUAACUGUCAGACCUUUUAUCUUCCAUUCUCUUCCCUCGAGUUUAUGGAAGUGUGAUUGGGCCUUGUGCUGAACUCACUCACCUGACUUCACUAGUGCACACUCCAAGAGGCUGGGACUUGGGCAAGGUGGGCAAGCAAAGUAAAUGUGACUGGUUGUGUGAUUUCUUGCCUUCUCUCUCUUUUAAAAAAUUUUAAAAAAAUUUUUAUUGGGUUAUGUUAGUCACCAUAAAAUACAUCAUUAGUGGGGCACCUGGGUGGCUCAGUGGGUUAAGCCUCUGCCUUCAGCUCAGGUGAUGGUCUCGGGGUCCUGGGAUCGAGUCCUGCAUCGGGCUCUCUGCUCAGUGGAGAGCCUGCUUUCCCCUCUCUCUCUGCCUGUCUCUCUGCCUACUUGUGAUUUCUGUCUGUCAAAUAAAUAAAUAAAAUCUUU